UACGGGGGGGGCAAGCGUUGUUCGGAAUUACUGGGCGUAAAGAGCUCGUAGGUGGCCAACUAAGUCAGACGUGAAAUCCCUCAGCUUAACUGGGGAACUGCGUCUGAUACUGGAUGGCUUGAGUUUGGGAGAGGGAUGCGGAAUUCCAGGUGUAGCGGUGAAAUGCGUAGAUAUCUGGAGGAACACCGGUGGCGAAGGCGGCAUCCUGGACCAAUACUGACACUGAGGAGCGAAAGCCAGGGGAGCAAACGGG
rnacentral:rRNA from 1 species